GGCUGGAACUCAAAAGACUUCCAAACGAAGAAGAUUUUUGUAGGUGGACAGAAACCUUUUCCUAACCCUUGCAUGCGUUGCGAUGUUCAACAGUUAAAAGUGUUGGUUUGUUUUUUAGGUUAAUCAUUGGUUUAUUUAUGUGAUUGGGGUUCUACACCUGGCUGGGAAGAGAUGCGCUCCUCUAAUGCUCCGUUUGGCAGGGCACUCUAUUGGAACCUUUGGCAAGUGUACAAAGACUGGUGGACCCUUCGAAACCAUCAUAUUCGAAGGUGCCAGCCCAGAGAUUUUUCUGAAUCCGCUAUAGCCAUAACUCUUCACCAACAAGAACUCUACUAUUAUUAUUAAUCAACCAAAAUCUCUCUUCACUCCAAACAGAACACACUAGCGAGAAAAAAAGUGAUCAGCCGAAAAACUCUGCGUUCUCUCACAAAUUAAACAGCGUCACUAUGGCAUAGGUAAUACUUUAGUGACUGCGAAAAUCAUUUUAGAAGCGGUAGCUGUGAUGAGUAAUGAGCACUGUGGCUGAUAAGUGGCUCCCCGUUUGGUUGGAUUCAUUUCAUUCUGUUGCAAGCAAGUAGAGAGUUGCCUAUCAAGGGUUGAGCAGUCGCCUGUUGACUCUAUGGAAAAUGCACUUUGUCCAUCGUUGAAAGCAUUGAUUGCGGACAAACUUUUAAGCCACUCAGAUGAUGAUGUCAAAGUUACAGUUGCCUCUUGCAUCAGUGAAAUAACAAGAAUCACUGCACCUGAAGCUCCUUAUGAUGAUGCUCAAAUAUAUGAAUGAAUUUGAUAUAUGAAUGAAUUUGACUAUUAUCAUACUCUUAAUGAAAGACAUCAGUAAAUCAAUUGAGUUUUACUGAUGACAUUUUCUUGCAGGAUGUCUUUCAAUUAAUUGUAUCUUCAUUUGAAAAUCUACAUGAUAAGUUAAGCCAAUCAUAUGCAAAGAGGACCUCAAUUCUUGAAACUGUUGUGAAAGUUAGAUCAUGUGUGGUAAUGCUGGACCUUGAAUGUGAUGCCCUGAUUUUGGAGAUGUUUAAGCAUUUCUUUUAAAAUAUAAGGUAAGACUAUAGUAAAGUUCAGCAUCAUCAUGGCUUCAAAUAUUUUGUCGUCUAUAAUUCUACCUCAAACAUGAUUUGAUUACUUUGAUCUUUUACCACAUUGUCUAUGUGAACUAUUUUAAACGUGUUUUUAUUUUUUCGUGCUUAGUAACUUUUAAACAUUUACUAAUAUUGUUGUAUUUGUGUAUUGUAUUGAACCCAAUACUCAUACCUUUACCUGUGCAACAUGGUUCUAACCAGCUCCAUUAUAAAAUUUCAGGGAACAUCAUCCAGAAAAUGUUUUUUCAUCCAUGGAAAUCAUCCACAAAAAAUUGUUCCGUUUGUACAAUUAACUGUUAUUAUAUAAGCUAUGAAGAUAUUGAAAAAUUGGAACAACUAUAUGCUCAAAGACUUUUGCUAUAAGACGAGUUUCAAUGAUGUUAUUCAUGAAGAAGAACAGUUUCUACCGAUAUUAGUGGUGCAAGCUACUACAUUGCAACUUUCAAUACUGUUUAAAUUUAAAUUGAAAUGUUGGUGCACACACCACUGCAGGAGAUGCAAGACAUGAGAGACUGCCACGAUAGCUUGCUUUCCGCGGCAGCAGUGGCCGCCAACAGUGCUUAUGAAUUCUCAGAGUCCUUGGGAGAAUUGGGCUCUUGCCUUCUUGAGAAAACCGCCUUGCAUGACGACGAAGAAAGCGUGUGGGUUGAGCUCAGAUUCACGGCAUGGAGCAAUUCCUAUUGUUUUUCUGUGUUCAGUGUUACGUGUUGGUGGAUGAGUGGAUUUGUGUUUUGAUGUGAUUGUUUUUAACAAUGGGCUGGUGGUUCCACUUGGCAUUAAGAGAAAUUUUGGUUUAGUUAAAGGUUGUGAAGUUCAAAGUUUAGGUUCCACUUCUGACCCCUGCCACCAUUAAAUGGGUGAAGCCUAAUAAUCAGAUUUGGUUUCGCGGGAUGAUACAAGACAGGCUCGGGAACGAAUUUUACGUUGGCGCUUAUAAGGUUCCUGAGUCCAUGGACUCAAGUUUCAGCUGAAGAAUUUGGCAAUUUAUCUAUGGAUUGCAAAUCGAAGAAUAGAGAAAAGCAGAGGAGAGAAGAUUGCGUGUCUUCAGAUAUGCCUGUAAUUUCUAGCCUUGUGUUAUUGCCUAUAUUGAUAUAUUGCUUCCAUUAAAUCAUCAUGUGAUGGGUCUAUGAACCCCUGAAACAUUUAGGGCCUUCCAUUCGUAUAGUUUAGCCAUUUUGGUCCCUCUCCUUAUAGGUUUAGAAUGAUGUGUUGGUUGUUUUGGAUGCUUAUUUUGUUUCUUGAGGUUAGUGAGUUCUGAUUUUAUUUCCUAGCUCAUAAAAAGCUUUUGUUAUUGUUUGAUAUAUUUUGGCUUCAUUUAAAAUAGUGUGAUUUUUUCCCUGGCUCAUGACCAAAGAAAGGGCUAAUGUUAGGUGAGAUUAUGUUAUGUAUUUUUUUAAAUAUA